GUGUGUGUGUGUGUGCAUGUACGCAUGCGUGUGCAUGUACAUGUACGUAUGUGUGUGUGAGCGUGUGCAUGCGUGUGCAUGUGUGUGUGCCUGUGCAUGUGUGUAUUUGUGUGUGUGUGCAU
rnacentral:pre_miRNA from 1 species